rnacentral:rRNA from 1 species
AUUGAACGCUGGCGGCAGGCCUAACACAUGCAAGUCGAACGAGUGGCGGACGGGUGAGUAAUGUCUGGGAAACUGCCCGAUGGUGGGGGAUAACUACUGGAAACGGUAGCUAAUACCGCAUACCAUCGGAUGUGCCCAGAUGGGAUUAGCUAGUGGGUGGGGUAACGGCUCACCCAGGCGACGAUCCCUAGCUGGUCUGAGAGGAUGACCAGCCAAACUGGAACGUAGACACGGUCCGGACGCCUAUGGUAGGCAGCAGUGGGGAAUGUUGCACAAUUGGCGCAAGCCUGAUGCAGCCAUGCCGCGUGUAUGAAGAAGGCCUUCGGGUUGUAAAGUACUUUCAGCGAGGAGGCGUUACUCGCAGAAGAAGCACCGGCUAACUCCGUGCCAACAGCCGCGGUAAUAC